UUUCCCCCGCCUCCCCUAUUCAUCUCCAGCCCUCCCACGCCGGCCGCCGCCACUCCUUUGCGCGGCUGCAACCUACCUGCAUCCCAGCACGCCGCCCCUCACGACUCCCCUGCGACCCUCCGUCCCGGCGCGCCGUCCCUUGUCACCACCCCUGCGGCCCUGCAUCCCGACGCGCGCCCCUCGUCACCGCUCCCCCUGCGACCAAUGGUGGAUCCAAGGUGUCAACCAUGUAAAACAAUCCAGGCGGCCUCUUGCUGGUCCCUUCUUUGCAUUCAUUUAAUCUCAUUGCUCGAACGACGCCACAGGCCAUCUUGGCUGAGGAGGGCAUCCUUCCAAUCUCACAUUCCAUGCCCGACCAAACUGCAAUCCUGUGCAGUGGGGAAGGCGUACAUCAAAGGCAGUUUGUAGCUGAAUGGGCAGCCACUAUUGUUGGUGAAAUUGCCAGAGAGUAGAAAUUAUUGCAGACUGGUCGCAUGUAUGCAAGGAGCAAGAAGAGAGUAAUUUUUUGCUUUUGAGGAUUUUUAUGUUGUGUUGUGCUACUGGAAUCUGAGACGUACAUCCUAGAGUUUUGUUUUAGGAGAUACUGAUGAUGUGCUUUCUUUAGAUUCAGACCUCUACUUGCUAUAUGAUGAGAAAGUACGGCCUGGAUUUCGUAAUGUGGGAUGCUGAUGAUGCGCGUUCUUUAGUUUCAAACAUCUGAAGAUACAUAUUACCUGGAUGGCUAAGAUUUGUAGGUGCUGUACAAGCAACUAAGUGAUUCAAUUCACCUAAGGCGUGGAUGUAGUUCUGCACAGCGAACUCAAGCACCACUUCUAGUUUUGUUGGAAAGUGGAUAAGUCCUUUUGGAGCAUUACAUGAUUUGUUCAGUGCACUUCUCUAUGUUCCUUACAUGCCAAAGGAAAAGGUCUGUAGCAAAAAAAGGAAGCUCACUGAGCACAUCAUUACAAAUUACCUGGCGAAAGGCCAGGCGAUGAAGAGGAUAAUCAAGUUGAGAGCCCCAAAUGUAGACGUAUAAUGGCUGAAUGUGCUUCUCAUCAGCGCUUUGGCUGCAUCCCAUGUCUCCAGGCAGGAACUAAAGUACUCUUGAAGAGCCUGAAAAUCAAAACAGAGACGUAGCUCUUUCUACAGUUGUAAGUUGUGAACCUAAAUUUAAACUUGAUGGUGCUGAACUUUCAAAUGAAUUCUGGGCAGUGUAUGUCGAUAUGGAUCUUGGUGCGAAGUCGCAAAAACUUAAGAUUUGGUGCGAAGACGCAAAAACUGCUACUCUUGGUAAUGCAGAAAAAAACAAAGAUUGCAUGGCCUUCAACCUUUAUUCAAAAGAUAAAUGGAUGAUUAUAUGGGUGCGUGGCAAGUAUACUGAUGGUGGUGGUGGUGGUGGUGGUGGUGGUGGUGGUGGUGAUGAUGAUGAUGAUGAUGAUGAUGAUGUUGGAUGCUUUCAAUUUUAGUUUAGUUGUAGGGAUGAUGUUCCUCGGUUAAGUUUUAGUUAAGUUGCAGGGAUGUUGAUGCACGCUUUUGGUUUGAGUUUUGUUCUCAAGAAAAUAUUUAGAUUAUGCAUCACAUUUGGAUGAUGUUCCUCGUGUAAUAUCCGCUGUUGUAAUCCAACAAUUUUAUCUAAUAUAUGAUUCUUCCUCGUGUGAGUA